UUGAUGUAUUUCUAAUAAACAGAUGUUAAAAUGGAGGAGUACUGUGCAGCUCUCCUGCUGCACAUUAACUUGGUGACAGACGCGUGAACAUGGCGUGGGGUGCACAGCGUGUCACCCUUGGCACCUUGAGCCUGUAUAAUUGGUAAGGGAAAGCCUGUUGCGAUGCAUGAGCACUCAAGAAUAUGAAGAUAUAAAAGACCAUGUGUCUUGACGUGUGACCUGUUAACAUUAGUUAACAGGAAUGAUGCAGCUAAUGAGAGCUGGUGUUUGGAAAUGUAUUGCUAAAGGCACCUUGGUCUGUCCCAGCUGAGGCAGCUUGAAGAGGAAGCUGAACCAAAUAGUGUAACUACUGCUGCAAGCACUGACUGCUCCUUUCCUGAUACAAACCAACAAAAAUCCCUCUGACAUCACUGAAGACACCUUAGAUAAGAAUGUUGUAACAUGGAAAGAUGAGGAGCACGCAUGCAAAACCACACAAGAGAUGUCUCUGGAUUGGGGGCACAACUGGAAAGCCAACUGUGUUUUGUCCUGUGAACAGCAGAAUCAAGGACAACCCUGCUGUGACAUGCUGGCAUGCCAAGAAGUACAAAACACAUUCUUCAGAAGCAGGUUCUCUCUCCUUCAUUGCUAAAGCUCAAGAAAUACUUAAGAAAAAUCACACUGUGCAAAUGUUUAUUAGGCAGGCCAUGCUGCUCAUGAGGGUUUGCAAAACUGCUGUUCUGAACCCUACAAAGGAAUUGUUUUUUCAGUAAACAGGAGCAAAGGCAGUCACAAAAAGUGUGCAUAUAAAGCGAGCCAAAGAGAAUCAGCUACUGCCUGCGCAUCUAUUGCUUGUGUAGGGA